ACGGGGGGAGAGUUUGAUCCUGGCUCAGGAUGAACGCUGGCGGUGCGCUUAACACAUGCAAGUCGAACGAUGAUCCGGUGCUUGCACCGGGGAUUAGUGGCGAACGGGUGAGUAACACGUGAGUAACCUGCCCUUGACUCUGGGAUAAGCCUGGGAAACUGGGUCUAAUACCGGAUAUGACUCCUCAUCGCAUGGUGGGGGGUGGAAAGCUUUUGUGGUUUUGGAUGGACUCGCGGCCUAUCAGCUUGUUGGUGAGGUAAUGGCUCACCAAGGCGAGGACGGGUAGCCGGCCUGAGAGGGUGAGCGGCCACACUGGGACUGAGACACGGCCCAGACUCCUACGGGAGGCAGCAGUGGGGAAUAUUGCACAAUGGGCGGAAGCCUGAUGCAGCGACGCCGCGUGAGGGAUGACGGCCUUCGGGUUGUGAACCUCUUUCAGUCGAGAAGAAGAGAAGGUGACGGUACGUGCAGAAGAAGCGCCGGCU
rnacentral:rRNA from 1 species